CUAGAGUUUUUUUAUUUUCUGUUUAACGGGAAGCGCCGACCCAAUUUUUUCAAAAUACCGAAAAAAAAUAAAAGAGGUCCAUCUCACUUUUAUUUUUAAAAUACCCGCCGACUGUGUCAUUUAUUGACGGUUUGAAAUAAAAUCGGGUUUGUUGUACACCAUAAUUUUAAUAAAUCAUGUAAACGUUUGACAUAGCUUACGUUAAUCAAAUUCUUGUACGAGCGUCUUGCUGAUUAUGAUAUCGUAACCAGUUUAAAGAACUAGUUUAUCGCACUUUUCGCGGGUUCUAUCAACAGAUCAACAAGCAAAAAUGCCAUUUCGAGACAUUUAUAGAUAAAAAUGACGAGAUAGUAAUAUUAAAUCCAUUGACGAUAAAGAGAAAAAAGAUUCUGAAAUCGGAAUGAAGGCAUCAACAACCUAUAUACACUAGAUGCACACUGAACCAUCUUGUGUCUAAAGAGUUGGGGAUACAAGUCCAUGUCUGCUUGGUUGAAUUAAAUGAGGUCAGGAUUCCAACAAAAUUACGAUUGGAAAAGAAUAUUUAAAACUAACAGUGACAAGUGACAGCUAAUUGGAAUUGCACACCUAAUUGGAAUUGCACACAUUAUCCUGUGGAAAGUUUGAUUUCUUGGUGGAGACCCAACCAUUUGUGAAGAGUUCAGAAGACUUCCAAGAUGACUGCUGUUGUUCGUCAAAUAAUUUCAGCUGACAAAUUUCCAUUCUGAACCUCAAGAAUGUGUUAGUCCUAUACUAGGAAUGCAUUGUCAAGUUAGCUAUCAACCCCAUAUCUUUCUCCAAACUUAUGUUUAAUCAUA